rnacentral:tRNA from 1 species
GCGGGUGUAGUUCAGUGGUAGAACGCCAGCUUCCCAAGCUGGAUGUCGUGGGUUCAAGCCCCAUCACCCGCUCCA